rnacentral:lncRNA from 1 species
CUAUAUAUAAUUAUCCUACUCAUCAUCUUCUAUACAUUCAUAUCCUACUUUUCUAGCUUCCUUCAAACCUUUUCAUCUUCACAAUGAGUGAUCAAUCUCCCUACUCCAAUUACUUGAAUUACUUUUCUUCCUCCACAUCUUCUUCCUCCAAAUUAUAUCCUCCAUAUUAUUAUGAUCAACAUUUCAACAUCAAUAAUAAUAGUAAUAUCUACUCUAAUAUUAUGAUGAGUCAUAAUUCUUCUUUUUUCACUCAUGAACAUUAUAGAUCUUCACCUCCAUCUCCACCUCUUAGAGAAGCUCUUCCCCUCCUAAGUUUGAGCCCUAC